AUUGAACGCUGGCGGCAUGCUUUACACAUGCAAGUCGAACGGCAGCGGGGGCUUCGGCCUGCCGGCGAGUGGCGAACGGGUGAGUAAUGCAUCGGAACGUGCCCAUGUCGUGGGGGAUAACGUAUCGAAAGGUACGCUAAUACCGCAUACGUCCUGAGGGAGAAAGCGGGGGACCGUAAGGCCUCGCGCGAUUGGAGCGGCCGAUGUCGGAUUAGCUAGUUGGUGAGGUAAAGGCUCACCAAGGCGACGAUCGGUAGCUGGUCUGAGAGGAUGAUCAGCCACACUGGGACUGAGACACGGCCCAGACUCCUACGGGAGGCAGCAGUGGGGGAAUUUUGGACAAUGGGCGAAAGCCUGAUCCAGCCAUGCCGCGUGCGGGAAGAAGGCCU
rnacentral:rRNA from 1 species